GUUAAAAAGCUCGUAGUUGGAUUUCGGAGUGGGCCAGUUGGUCCGCCGCAAGGUGUGUUACUGACUGGUUUGCUCUUCUUCGCAAAGACUGCGUGUGCUCUUUAGUGAGUGUGCGUAGGAUUUACGACGUUUACUUUGAAAAAAUUAGAGUGUUCAAAGCAGGCUAUUGCUUGAAUACAUGAGCAUGGAAUAAUGGAAUAGGACUUUGGUCCCAUUUUGUUGGUUUCUAGGACCGAAGUAAUGAUUAAGAGGGACAAUUGGGGGCAUCCGUAUUUCGUUGUCAGAGGUGAAAUUCUUGGAUUUACGAAAGACGAACAACUGCGAAAGCACUUGCCAAGAGUGAUUUCCUUAAUCAAGAACGAAGUU
rnacentral:rRNA from 1 species